UGCUGCUCCUCUUAUCAAGAAGAGCCCUCAAAUCUGGGUUUGGCCAUGCCACUUGUUUUGCCCAACAAAUCAAGCAGAAGUGAUGUGCAACUUAUGAGCCUAGGGCUGAAGAGGUCUCUGAAAUGGAGCCACUAAGAUAAGGUUUCUUCUUCAACAGAAAAUAUGUUACUGAUCUAAUUUCUGUGCAGCCAAGAUAAGUGGAACUGUCAUUCUGUCCUAUUGGAAAGAGCCUUUGUCUUCCAUGAGAAAACAAAGCUGCACAGAUACAUUUUUGUUUCUAAAAUAG
rnacentral:lncRNA from 1 species